rnacentral:rRNA from 1 species
GACGAACGCUGGCGGCGUGCUUAACACAUGCAAGUCGAACGAUGAAGCCCAGCUCGCUGGGUGGAAGAGUGGCGAACGGGUGAGUAACACGUGAGUAACCUGCCCUGAACUCUGGGAUAAGCACUGGCAACGGUGUCUAAUACCUGAUACGACCUAUCACCGCACGGUGUGUGGGUGGAAAUAUUUAUCGGUUCUGGAUGGACUCGCGGCGUAUCAGCUAGAUGGUGAGGGAAUGGCUCACCAUGGCGUCGGCGGGUAGCCGGCCUGAGAGGGUGAGCGGCCACACUGGGACUGAGACAGGGCCCAGACGCCUACGGGAGGCAGCAGUGGGGAAUAUUGCGCAAUGGGCGCGAGCCUGAUGCGGCGGCGCCGCGUGAGGGAUGACGGCCUUCGGGUUGUAAACCUCUUUUAGUAGGGAAGAAGCUAAAGUGACGGUACCUGCAGAAAAAGCACCGGCUAACUACGUG